rnacentral:rRNA from 1 species
CACGUAGGGUGCGAGCGUUGUCCGGAAUGAUUGGGCGUAAAGAGCUCGUAGGCGGUGUGUCGCGUCGGCCGUGAAAACCUGCAGCUUAACUGUGGGCUUGCGGUCGAUACGGGCAUCACUGGAGUUCGGCAGGGGAGACUGGAAUUCCUGGUGUAGCGGUGAAAUGCGCAGAUAUCAGGAGGAACACCGGUGGCGAAGGCGGGUCUCUGGGCCGAUACUGACGCUGAGGAGCGAAAGCGUGGGGAGCGAACAGG